rnacentral:rRNA from 1 species
UACGGGGGGGGCAAGCGUUGUCCGGAUUUAUUGGGCGUAAAGAGCGUGUAGGCGGCUGGGUAGGUCCGUUGUGAAAACUCGAGGCUCAACCUCGAGACGCCGAUGGAAACCCUCCAGCUAGAGUCCGGAAGAGGAGAGUGGAAUUCCUGGUGUAGCGGUGAAAUGCGCAGAUAUCAGGAAGAACACCCGUGGCUAAGGCGGCUCUCUAGUACGGUACUGACGCUGAGACGCGAAAGCGUGGGGAGCGAGCAGG